GGAAUCUUCCACAAUGGACGCAAGUCUGAUGGAGCAACGCCGCGUGAGUGAAGAAGGUCUUCGGAUCGUAAAACUCUGUUGUUAGAGAAGAACACGAGUGAGAGUAACUGUUCAUUCGAUGACGGUAUCUAACCAGCAAGUCACGGCUAACUACGUGCCAGCAG
rnacentral:rRNA from 1 species